rnacentral:rRNA from 1 species
GAUGAACGCUGGCGGCGUGCCUAAUACAUGCAAGUCGAGCGAACAGAUAAGGAGCUUGCUCCUUUGACGUUAGCGGCGGACGGGUGAGUAACACGUGGGUAACCUACCUAUAAGACUGGGAUAACUUCGGGAAACCGGAGCUAAUACCGGAUAACAUUUGGAACCGCAUGGUUCUAAAGUGAAAGAUGGUUUUGCUAUCACUUAUAGAGGGACCCGCGCCGUAUUAGCUAGUCGGUAAGGUAACGGCUUACCAAGGCGACGAUACGUAGCCGACCUGAGAGGGUGAUCGGCCACACUGGCACUGAGACACAGUCCAGACUCCUACGGGAGGCAGCAGUAGGGACUCUUGCGCAAUGGGCGAAAGCCUGACCGAGCAAUGGCGCGUGAGUGGUGAAGCGCUUCGGCUCGUACAACUCUGUUAUUAGGGAAGAACAAAUGUGUAAGUAUCUGUGCACGUCUUGACGGUACCUAAUCAGAAAGCCACGGCUAACUACGUG